GGCUGGUCUGAGUACAGUGGUGUUUACAAUUAAUUGAUCCAGUUACAGAUUUCUUUGCUCCUUCUCCACUCCCACUGUUUCACUUGACUACCCUAAA
rnacentral:Y_RNA from 1 species